rnacentral:lncRNA from 1 species
AAUCGCUGCACAGUUAUAUAUUUUUAUGUAUUUUAUUGUAUUUUGCUACUAUGUGGCUAAUGGAGUUUUGCCUCUGUCCUUGGAGAUAAUUGGAUUACUUCCCAAUUAUCUCCAGGAUAGAAGACUCUGUGGAACUGGUUUUGGGCAGAAAAACCAUGCUUCAUUUUGUCAAAUAGGACUUUCCCUUAACUUUUUAACCCCUG